CAUGGAAUUCGGCUAACUUGUGCAUGUAUUAUCAAUGAUUUUGUAACAUCUUGCCAUUAUAUACAUGAAAUUUUAGGUUCAUUGAUUUGUGUUUGCAUGUGGAAAUAGCAUGAGAAGCUUAAAACUCCUGUCCUACGAGCUCUAUAAAGAUUUUUUUAAGCAAAAUCGUACUUGAUGAAUAAAGGCUAACCAAAUAGGACCUUCAGAGGGUUAAUCGAAAAGAACCCUCAAUUCACAAC
rnacentral:lncRNA from 1 species